ACCGCGACCUGGGCUGCGUGUCCUAAAGAGCCGCUACUCUCAGGACUUUUUCUAAGGCUUGUGGUUGUUUGGGCUUGGUCGGCCUGGUAUUGAAGCCCAUUUGUCUAACCGAGCGAUCUGUCGCUGACUCGUCGAUCCAGUCCAGCCGAGGCGCGGUUGGGGAUCAAGCUUGCGAGGGGAUCCAGCGUGGGAUGGAGGCGAGGCGCUCGAGCGACAGUGAUGGUGGCGAUGGGGUAAGAUCUGCGGCAUGUCUUCGGCGGUCUUGCUCCUCUUUCCCUUUCCCUGCGCCAAGCGAUGGCAAAGAGGAGGAGGCUGCUUCGCCGAUGGCGUAUGGUGGCUGUGCCGGUGGUGUGCGUGGAUUGAGGCCAUGAGCGACGGCUCUGUAACCUAACGCCUCCCUCCGUGUCUCAUCGAUCGGCACACCAUAGGCCUCCCCUCCCCUCUCCCUUCCGCUGGCGCACGAGCACAACAGCAGGCACCUCCGGAUCUCCCUUCCCUCCGCCAGACGGCAGGUGCCCACAAUCCAAAUUUUCUGAUAGCUGAAAUAGGCGGCCAUGGGAGCCAACGCUCGAACUUGGGGAGCCAGAUGCGAUCAGAGGCGCAUAUAGAGAUGAUGAUGAUGAUAACCACCAGGGGCAGUUGAUUGUUUUGGUUUUCCCAGGUCCAAUUGAUUGUUUUGGGCCUGCUGAUGAUGACGUUUUUGGGCCGACAUGAACCUGAUGUUCUUGAUGUGGAUGAUGUAGCAGGCAAUGGCCACACCGGCCAAGGGUCAACAACAUGAGCAAGUGAACCAGACGCUACUAUUGGGGAUGGCUGAGACACUACAAGACAUAUUUUAUCAUAUUAUAGGCUAAUCUUCGCUGUUUGCACAGUUUGUGAUUUAAUCAUUCACCCAACUGGUAGGAUCUGAGUCUGGAGGACUCCAUACCAUGGCAUUUAAUCUUCUUACAUGUUGGAAUUUCCUUGCAACAACUGAUGGUAACGAUUGUCUGGCUAAAUUGGUCGUACUCACAUGAACAAUUAGUCGCACCUUUUCCCUUCAGCUCGCUUCUAAAAUUGACGUCUGCAGAUGAUACCCAAAUUUUGCAGGCUGAUAAAAAGAAGUUACAGUUUAAUCGAAGGGAGAAUGAAAAUUUCAAUAUUGGCAUCCUUAUAUAAGGCCUUCUAUGUCUUUUUUCUAAGGCCACAAACAAGAAAACAUGCAGUCGUCUUAUGGCCGUGGGCUGGAGGGCGGCGUGCAAGGACAACCAAGAAGAUCACAUCCACCUACUUUUGGCUGUUUGUGUCACUCUUCUUUGGUGAAUCAUUCCAAUCAUUUCGUUGAGGCUCUGCAUCCCAUCUGAAUGGGUACAUUACCCAUCCAAAAUCAGAACCUGUUGCUCACUCUACGAUCUAAUAUUAUAACAUUUUGUUCACUUCAUGAUUUGAUGGUACAACAUUUUGCAGAUACCAACAAAAGCAGUGUUUAGUCCAUCGCUGAAUUGUAUUGCCCUUUGCUUCUGGGUAUAGAACUAGAUAUCACAUGGACCUCUCCCUGGAAGCAAGCAAACAUUUUUGACUCGUGAGGUCAAUGGAGCCAAGCUUACAAGUUAAUGUAGGAAAGUUAAUAGGAACUAUACAAAUGAAGUCAGAGUUUAGUUAAAACUUCAUAAACAUUUCUCGUAGCUAAUGUAUUUUGUCUUAUGUACUAUAUCUUGUCGUGUUUUUAUGUAAUUGGGCUCUUUUGUUGUGAAAAAAAAUAGAUGUGUUUUCUCUCUUCUCCUUUCAGUCCAUCAAACUAAUCCAUGAUAUAUAUGUAGUUCUCUCAUGGAUGAGCGACCACCUAAAGGUGUUGUAUAGUUCUUCCAUUCUUCAGUGAAACAUUACAUUGACUUUC